GAUGAACGCUGGCGGCGUGCCUAAUACAUGCAAGUCGAGCGGUAAGGCUUCUUCGGAAGUACACGAGCGGCGGACGGCUGAGUAAUGCAUAGGAACGUACCCCAAACUGAGGGAUAAGCCACCGAAAGGUGGUCUAAUACCGCAUGUGCUCUUCGGGGUAAAGCUACGGCGGUUUGGGAGCGGCCUAUGUUCGAUUAGCUUGUUGGUGAGGUAAUGGCUCACCAAGGCGACGAUCGGUAGCGGGUCUGAGAGGAUGAUCCGCCAGACUGGAACUGAGACACGGUCCAGACUCCUACGGGAGGCAGCAGUAGGGAAUUUUCCACAAUGGGGGCAACCCUGAUGGAGCAACGCCGCGUGCAGGAUGAAGGCCUUCGGGUUGUAAACUGCUUUUCUCUGUGAUGAUUAUGACAGUAGCAGAGGAAUAAGGAUCGGCUAACUCCGUGCCAGCAGCCGCCGUAA
rnacentral:rRNA from 1 species